GACGAUAAUGAUUCGAAGGGUAAGAAUUGAGAGGAAAAUAAUAAAAAAGGGCGAAGGGGGAAGCGAGGGGGAUCAGUUUAUUUACCUUAUUGGCAUCAACAUCCAUUUGUGCAUUCAUAAACAUAUCAACAUACAUCUACAUUAAAAACUGUAUAAACUAGUAAAAAGUAUCAAUAUAGCCACAUAUAUCAGUGUAUUUAAAAAUAUAAAUGUAUGUCUGCAAUAUCAAUGCUUAAGGGUGCAUGUGCGUACACAUAUCAGUAUAUAUAUAAUUGAUAGCAAGUUUAUACAUACAUGCAGAAACAUAUCAGUAUAUACAAAUCGUAUAUAUACACACUGUAUACAUACACAGUAUAUAUCCACUGAUCAACGCGUAAGGGUGCAUGUGAGUGCGCAUAUCAAUGUAUAUAACAGAUAGCAAGCAACUGUAUCCAUACACAACACGCACACAUGUGUAGUAUAUAUAUAUGUGAGUGUAAGUGUGUGUGAGUGUGUGUGUAGUAUAUAAAUCAGUGUAUAUAUGCGUUAAUAGCUGCAUAAACUGAUAAUAAGUGUAUAUAUGAUCAUAUAUAUCAAUGUAUAAAAAAAUUUAUUCAUUAAUGUACUGUAUAUAAAACUUUAUGCACUUUACACAUACACACAUAUCAAAUAUAUACACAUCGUAUAUAUACAGACAUCACACACACACAUAUCAAUGUAUUUUUUACACACUAAUAACUGUAUAUAUUACAGAUAACUAAUGUAUUGUAUGCUUUAUACACAUCAAUAUAUAUGCACUGAAAAUAAUGAUAUAUAUUGCUAUACAUAUAUAUACACAAAUUGAGCUAAUAACUGUAUACAUCACAGAUAAUAAGUACAUACAUGAUCUUAUACAUUAGUGCAUAUAUAAACCCUUUAUAAAUAUGCAGAUGAGUGUGCGUAUAUACAUUUCAGUGUACAUAUACACUCAUUACUGUAUAAACAAAUAAUAAAUUUCUAUAUGGUCAUAUAUAUCAGUGUACAUAGAAAUGUAUGUAUGCACUAUCAAUGCGUAAAGGUGCAUAUGCGUCGCAUAUCAGUGUACAUAUAACUAAUAGCAAGUUUACAUAUACAUGUAUAAACAUAUCAAUAUAUACAUAUCCUUUAUAUGCACAUAUCCUUUAUAUGCACACUGCAUAUAUCAGUAUAUACAUGUCGUUUAUAUGUACAUUGUGAGUGUGAGAGCGAGUGUGAGUGUGAAUGUGUGUGUGAGUGUGUGUGUGUGAGUGAGUGUGAGUUUUAGUUUGUGUGUGUGAGUGUGUGUAUGUGUGUGUGUGUGUGUGUGUGUGAGUGUGUGGUGUGUGUUGUGUGUGUGUGUGGUGUGUGUUGUGUGUGAGUGUGUGGUGUGUGUUGUGUGUGUGUGUAUGUGUACGUGUUAAGAAAAAGUGACUUAAUAAAAUUGUAAACCACAAGUAAGGCUCUAAAAAAUUUACUCCGUAUUUGCAUGACAGAGGCAAGAGCAGUACUAUACUACAAAAGAAAGAACCAUUAAGCAAAUCAAGCUUUCAAGUUCAAGAUCUCAAAUAUCAAAAAACGUAAAGAGAUCCGCCUCGAUGAUAAGUUGCAUUCAUGCUUGUUGAAUUACAAGCAAACUCAAUGAAGAUGAAGCUCAUCAACAAUAAUAAAAACAAGUACAGAUAUAUGAUAAAAACUUUAGAUGGACUAUCACAAUUGGGUAUUUUAGCAUACCUAAUACAUCAAGAGAAGAAACCCAUUCUUAUGCCUAAUUCUAUACAAAGUAAUAUGGAAUUUCGCCUAGGCUUAUUUGAUUAGAGGUGAUAACCAGAAGAAAUAAUCUCCUUCUUUAAUACCUGAUUUUAUCACAAUUCGAAAAUUGUAUAUGGUAAGAAAAAUCAUUCACAGAGAAGAUAAUGAUUCGAAUGGUAAGAAUUGAGAGGAAAAUAAUCAAAAAGGAGGGGGCAGGGGGAUCUGUCCCUUUACCUUGUUGGCUGCAACUACCACCUGUGCUUUCAUAUACAUAUCAAUGUACAUCUACGCUAAUAACUGUAUAAACUGAUAAAAAAUGUAUAUAUGGUCAUAAACAUCGGUGUAUAUAAAAAUGUAUAUAUGCACUAUUAAUGCGUAAGGGUGCAUGUGCGUACGCAUAUCAGUGUAUAUAUAACAGACAACAAGUUUAUACAUACACGCAUAAACAUAUCAAUAUAUACAUAUCGUAUAUAUACACACUGUGUAUAUAUAAACUGUCAAU
rnacentral:lncRNA from 1 species